AUUAUCAUGUUAUUACAAUAUUUAAUAUAACUAUAUUAACACUACCCAGAUAUGCAUAUGGUUAUCAUUGAACCCAUUCCCAUAUUCAUUUGUCAAUGAA